GUGAGAGUCUCUCUGUGAGAGUCUCUGUGUGAGUCUCUGUGUGAGUCUCUGUGAGAGUCUCUGGGUGAGAGUCUCUGGGUGAGAGUCUCCGAGUCUCUGGGUGAGAGUCUCUGAGUCUCUGUGUGAGAGUCUCUGGGUGAGAGUCUCUGAGUCUCUGUGUGAGAGUCUCUGAGUCUCUGUGUGAGAGUCUCUCUGUGUGAGUGUCUGUGUGAGGGUCUCUCUGUGUGAGAGUCUCUGAGUCUCUGGGUGAGAGUCUCUGAGUCUCUGGGUGAGAGUCUCUGAGUCUCUGUGUGAGAGUCUCUCUGUGUGAGUCUCUGUGUGAGGGUCUCUCUGUGUGAGAGUCUCUGAGUCUCUGUGUGAGAGUCUCUGGGUCUCUGUGUGAGAGUCUCUGGGUGAGAGUCUGUGUGAGUCUCUGUGUGAGAGUCUCUGAGUCUCUGGGUGAGAGUCUCUGGGUGAGAGUCUCUGGGUCUCUGUGUGAGGGUCUCUGGGUGAGAAUCUCUGGGUCGCUGGGUGAGAGUCUCUGGGUCUCUGUGUAAGUCUCUGGGUCUCUGUGUGAGAAUCUCUGUGUGAGAGUCUCUGGGUCUCUGUGUGAGGGUCUCUGUGUGAGAGUCUCUGGGUCUCUGUGUGAGAGUCUCUGUGUGAGGGUCUCUGUGUGAGAGUAUCUGGGUCUCUGUGUGAGUCUGGUUCUGGUGCAAGAAACGCAAGAAUGAAGCCUGCCAAUGCCCCCCUCUGCUCCACGUGGCAUGGCACUGCAGCAACUCCCCGCCCGUGUGGGCCCGUGCAGUUGCACCGCCUGCACACGCGGCAGGAGACGUGGCCGCUGGUGGUGUGCCGCGUGCUCGUAGUUUUAGUGGACUGUAUCGUCCUUGCCCGCACAGGAAAUCAAAGUGGAGCCUGGGACGCGUCACGCAGCCGCCCCUACCUGCUGCCGGUGUGCGGACACGCGUCUCGUGUGGAGCAUGCCUGCAGGACAAAGGCACGCGCACGCGCGGGCUGCGAGUUUGUGUGCCCGACCUGCAAGGUCCCCGGCCUCCUACCUGCAGCCCGACGAAGCGCUUGGAAAUUUCCUACCCACGCUGAAGGAAAUGCUGGAGGAGCGAUUUGGUGGGAAACCUCGGCCGCUCUACCCUGAGCGGCCGCUCGCGCAGGGCGGCCGCGGCGCUGGUGUCUGGCACCUAUCUUGUCGAGGGCUCUGUACAGCACAAACCACUGCACCUGGGCCACGGCCCGAAUCCAAAGCCUCCGUUCUGACGGUCAGAUUCAGGUCUGUUCCCGUAGUCGAGUUCACGUUAAAAUUUAUGCUGGGCAAUGAGUUGAUUGAAACCUAGAGAUGUAAAAUAGCAGACAGGUCACUUCUGUCACCAGGCCUUUUAGCUGCGUUCCAACCAAGGCUUUACAUAUUUCCACACCUCCGAUUAGCACAGUUGGCUAUGUACGGUGCGAAAGAAGUUCAACAUAAAUAUUCAUAAGUUUGUUUACCCCAAGAAGACCUCAAGCUUUCACGACCAUUAUCCAUAAUCGAGGUUUUUGGGUUAGACGACGUAAAUAUGAAUGUGUCGUUAAACCCGCCACCGCCAACACAGCCAAUUACUGUAGUAAGGUUUGUCACGUAAUCAAAACGUGCUAAUUCGUUACUAGUUCAGCACACUGGUGUGUUCGACAGUAAACCCCCAACAUUUACAAUUCAAUACUCUUUGGUUCUUUUGGUAAAGUCACGUAGGUAUAAAAUAAAAUUUACAAUUCGAGUACGACGUUUUGUCAGUAAUUCCAACUCACAUCAACAGGCGAUAGCCAGGGUUGUUAAGAGCGAAGCAGGAGGAUUUCUCAAGAGAUAAAUGUGAUGUCUCACUUGUGGGGCAAUUAGGCCGAAGGCCGGGGGGGGGGGAGGUUAUAAAUGCAUAUAAAUUACAAUGGAUAUCCAAUAUCGGUUGGGUUAUUCAUAGGAUAAUCAACAGACAUACAUUCACAUUAUGCAUGCACACCAUGCAUAUCCAUCCUGCCGUUUUUGGUUGCAAGAAAGACGGGUUUUUUUUAUUCCAGCGUUCAGAUAGUUGCCCAGUACCAGUUACGUUGCCAUGGCGUGUUGUAGGCUGAAGCAUUGACGCUAGAGGAUGACCGAAACUGAAUUUCUGGUUUCGGCCCAAACCGAAACCAGACCGAAAGUUAAAUAUUGGCUUUUGGCCGAAACCGAAGCCGAAACCGAAAGUUGAACUUCACUUUCGGCCGAAACCGAAAGUUUAACUACACUUUCGACCGAGACCAAAACAGAAAGGUUUAUAACCAAAGUUACCGAACACAAGAUUUAUGAAAUACUAGCUUUACUACCCGGCUUCGCCCGGGACUUGGAUUCACCACGGCCAGCUGCCUUUGUCUCCCCAGUGGCGAUGUUGACACACCACUUACUCGUUUGAGGCUGAGUCGACCUAGGGGAGGCCCAGGACCAGUUCAAAUAAUCGUCACCGGCGGUGGCCAUGAGUGGGAAUUGAACUUUGGUCGUCGGGUUCGUAGCGCAGCGCGCGAAUCGCUACGCAGUCGCUGCCCCCCCCUACAUACACACAGGAUAAGGACAAAAAUCCACCAUGUAGCCUGUGAGACUGUAGGGGGCAAGUGCUGUUAGCGAGUACCUAUGAAGGCCGGCAUGGCACACGAGGGGGUGGGUGGCCAGCACCACGCCAUGUUCGUAGCGCUAAGCGCUACACAUGCGCGGGUGACAUGACAGAUGUGACGUCACAGCUCGCUUGCCGUGCAAAAUAUAUGCAUUAUUGCACCCCCCCCCCCCCAAAAAAAUAAUACCAAAGUGUAUGCAUGGUGUACAGUAUGGAAAGUACCCACAUGGCAAAUUUAAAGUUUGUUGCAUGUCGGGAAGUACGCUAAACAUUUUGAACAGACACAUUCACAAAUUUUCAUUUUUUAUAUAUAGGUCAUGAUGCAAUGCUACUUUAAUAAAAAAUGUAUCUAGAACUAAUCAUUCAGAGCCUGCAGUAAGAGUCGUUAAAUAUCAAAUCUUUAGGUGUUACUUGGUGAUUAUAUCUAAACAAACGAAUGUUGUAGUUAAGAAAUACCAGUUUUUCCGCAUUCUCGCCCAGCAGGUUGCUGUUUCUUGCAUCAGAAUCGACUUUAGUGAUUAACUGCUCCGUUUAUUAAGUUUAAUUUUCUACUUCACUCAGAUUCGUAAUUUUGUUAUCACUAAUUCGCUACGUAACUAUUAACUAACUGAAUAACAAUAUUGUCAGAUUUCGAUUUAAAGCUUUCGUGACUGCAGGGAUUCAUCUUCUUGGUUCUUUCGGUAAAGUCACAUAGAAGGGAAAUAAUAAAAUAAUAAAAAUAAAACAUAAUAAAAUAAUUCUCACGACGUUUCAGCCACAACGCAAGCAGCUGUCCUCAGGUGAAGAAUUCUUCAUUUUUUUUAUUAUGUUUUAUUUUUAUUAUUUUAUUACUUCCCUUCUAAGUGACUUUACCGAAAGAACCAAGAAGAAUAUUGUCAGACUUCGAAUCUCUGUAUCAACACGCGUGUAGACUGAAGAGAACGCAACACAUAAGCCAAGGCGGGCAGGCGGCUGGAAACAGACAACAACGGCACUUUGUUGUCGUCCCGCCAAAGAGACUCCACCCACGGAUGCAAAAGCAGGCUGCCGUCUGUUGACAUUAACAGACCAUCGUUGCGGCUGUAACCUCGCUCCCAAGCUGCUGCUGAUGUGUUUUUGCAGCCUAUCGCAGGAUUGCCUAGCGCCGACUGACCGGCCGAUAGGCAGAGAGAUAAACGUAGCACUAGCGUUAUAUUCUAAAAAUAGAUCUUCGGUUGACCGAAAGUCAAUAUCAGUUUCGGCCGAAAUCGAAAGUAAACCGAAAGUAAAAAAUGUACUUUCGGCCGAAACCGAACGUAUGUCGAAAGUGGCCAUUUGCCAACUUUCGGCACCGAAACCGAAUUUCGGUCGGCCUUUACUUUACGCAUCACCUCUGUGCGACCGACUGGGGAUCGCAGCAACUUGAAAAGGUGAUCAAAUGUACAAGAGGGGUUGGUAUGAAUCCUAUAGCUAUUUGGGACUUAGCUUGGAAAAACAAAACCAAGCAUGUGUUUAUCAAAGGAUUAUUCAAUAUUGGGCCAAAACAGGAUUGUUGAUUACAGUAGACUCUCCAUUUUCCACACUAAUGACCGGGAGGAUGGCCACGGCUAAUUCAAAAUCGUGGAUAAUCCCAAAUAUUCAUCUUCCGUGGAUCUCUAUGCCAAAAACCACUAAAGUAUAGUGGUAUAAGUUAUGUUUAAGUUAAGAAAAUUGAGUUGGUUAAUGAAUUAAACUAAAAUUGUAGAACUCACGAUAGAUCGAUGUGCGUGCUCAAUGAUAACAAUUUCCUGCUUCCGCGCAGACGACUCGGCCCACAAAGGGGACAGCAGCAGAGCCACGUCAAUCAACAUCAAUCAUUGCAAUGGACAAUUUUACGUGAUUGCAUUUACUGAUCUGACCGAGGUGGUGGCACGUGCCUGUAAACUCAUGGGGCUGACAGGUGGCAGUAUAGAAAGUUGGGGCACGUGACUUGUCUGUGCGGCCCUGUGAAUGUUGUCCCCUUGUGCUCGUGGGCUUUCGCUCAUUACUCAGUGCUGCAAAGCAGUGGCAAUGGGAGCCAAGUACAGUAGACUCUCGAUUGUUCGCGCUAAUUAGGGGAGGACGGCUGCACUAAGACCCAUAGAAUCAUACACAGACACACAGCCUCACAGCCUCACACAGACACCCAUUGACUCACACAGAAACCCAAAGACUCACGCAGGAACAAUAUACUUGCACAAUGACCCUUAGAAUCUCACACAGACACACAGCCUCACACAGACACCCAUUGACUCGCACAGAAACCCAAAGACUCGCACAGAAACAAUAUACUUGCACAAAGACCCAUAGACUAACACAGCGACGCAUAGACUCACACAGAGACCCAUACACUCACAUAGGGACAAUAUACUUGCACACAGACACAGACACCGAGACCCAAUGACACACACAGAGAAAAAAAUCCCACAGAGACCCAUAGACUCACACAGAUACCCAUAGACUCACACAGAGACCCAUAACCUCACACAUAGACCCAUACACCCACACAUAGACCCAUACACCCACACAGAGACCUAUAGACUCAAACAUAUACCCAUAGACACACACAGAGACCCAUAGACUCACACAGAGACCCAUAAACUCACACAAAGACUAUACUUGCCCAAAGACCCAUAGAAUCACAGGAAGACACAUUGGCAAACACAGAGACACAGACUCGCACAGAGACACAGACACCCAUUGACUCACACAAAUACCCAAAGACUCACACAGGGACAAUAUACUUGCAAAUAGACCCAUGGAAUCAAAAACCCAUAGACUCACACAGAAACAAUAUACUUUCACAAAAAACCAAUUGACUCACACAGAGACCCAUAGACUCACACAGAAACAAUAUACUUUCACAAAAACCCAUUGAAUAACACAGAGACACAAAUACACACACAGACCCAUGGACACACACAGGGACAAUAUACUUACAAAAAGACCCAUAGAAUCGCACAGGGACAUUAACUCACACAGAGACAAUAGACUCACAAAGGGACAAUAUACUUGCACAAAGACCCAUAGAAUCAUACACAGACACACAGCCUCACACAGACACCCAUUGACUCACACAGAAACAAUAUACUUUCACAAAAACCCAUCGAAUCACACAGAGACACAGACAUACAUCGACUCAUAGAUUCACACAGGGACAAUAUACUUGCACAAAGACCCAUAUAAUCACAUAGAGACCCAUAGACUCACACACAGACACACAGCCUCACACAGACACCCAUUGACUCACACAGAAACCCAAAUACUCACUCACUGGGACAAUAUACUUGCAAAUAGACCCACAAAAUAUCACACAGACACACAGCCUCACACAGACACCCAUAGAC